rnacentral:rRNA from 1 species
AUGAUCUCGCGCUGCUAUUUCCCUGUCAUGUCACAAAGAUUUGAUCAUCUUCUUGUUUCUUGUUUCCUGAUGAUCUCGCUCUGCUAUUUCCCUGCCAUGUCACAAAGAUUUGAUCAUCUUCUUGUUUCUUGCUUCUUGAUGAUCUCGCUCUGCUAUUUCCCUGUCAUGUCACCAAGAUUUGCUCAUCUUCUUGUUUCUUAUGUCAACUUUGAAGCCCGCGAUCUGCAGACCGUGAUCCUCAAGAUAGCGGUGCCCGUGAUGGCCAUGGUGCUGCUGCUCACGGUGUCGACUGUCUCCAUGACGCCGGAGACUGUGCGUGCGCCUGCCUCCGUGCCUGCUUCUUCCGCAGCGACUACUGUCUGA